rnacentral:rRNA from 1 species
AUUGAACGCUCGCGGGAUGCUUUACACAUGCAAGUCGAACGGCAGCGCGGACUUCGGUCUGGCGGCGAGUGGCGAACGGGUGAGUAAUGUAUCGGAACGUGCCCAGUAGCGGGGGAUAACUACGCGAAAGCGUAGCUAAUACCGCAUACGCCCUACGGGGGAAAGCAGGGGAUCGUAAGACCUUGCACUAUUGGAGCGGCCGAUAUCGGAUUAGCUAGUUGGUGAGGUAACGGCUCACCAAGGCGACGAUCCGUAGCUGGUUUGAGAGGACGACCAGCCACACUGGGACUGAGACACGGCCCAGACUCCUACGGGAGGCAGCAGUGGGGAAUUUUGGACAAUGGGGGCAACCCUGAUCCAGCCAUCCCGCGUGUGCGAUGAAGGCCUUCGGGUUGUAAAGCACUUUUGGCAGGAAAGAAGCGUCGCGGGCUAAUACCCCGUGGAACUGACGGUACCUGCAGAAUAAGCACCGGCUAACUACGUG